rnacentral:rRNA from 1 species
UACGGAGGGUGCGAGCGUUGUCCGGAAUCACUGGGCGUAAAGGGCGCGUAGGCGGCUUUUUAAGGGUGCGGUGAAAGCCCGGGGCUCAACCCCGGAGUGCCGCCUGAAACUGGGGUGCUUGAGGACGGAAGAGGGGAGUGGAAUUCCUGGUGUAGCGGUGAAAUGCGUAGAUAUCAGGAGGAACACCCGUGGCGAAGGCGGCUCCCUCGUCCGUUACUGACGCUGAGACGCGAAAGCGCGGGGAGCAAACAGG